AGGGGGGUAGCUCAAGGCCAGAGCACCGGUAUCCAACGCCGGAUGGUGCAAGUUCAAGUCUUGCCUCCCCUG
rnacentral:tRNA from 1 species